UGGUUGCUUUUGGAACCAAAUACCAUGAUGUAAGGAAGCCCAAGCAGCCACAGCAAAGAAUACAUGUAAGUGUUAACAACUCAUAGCCCCAGAUGAAGUUCCAACUGACAGCCAUGACCAACCACCAGACGCAUGAAUGAGAGAGUCUUUGACAUCAGUCAACCCCAGUGACCAUCUGGCUGAAAUUUCAUGAGACACACCUGAGUGAGAAUCAAGUAGCUAAGCCCACUCACCGGCAAAACCAUGUGAGCAGUUGGCCUCAUUGUUCCACUUCGCUGAGAAAAUGAAGAACAUCUGGAAAGAUCUACCUCCUUUAUCUGCAGCACCACGGAACACUUAAAUCCACACUGUGCUCCUUAUUCUUUCUUCAGUAAUGAAGGGACCAGCACCAAUCAGAAUCACCUAUCUAUUCAAUUUACCAACUAUAUCAGAAGCUUACUUUGAGAACUCGGCCA